GCUCCGCUCCCGGGCGCCGUGAGCGGCGGUGCAUCAACUCAUCCAUCGUCCUGCGCCUGCCCUGGCCCUGGCCCUGGCCCCGGCCCCGGCCCUGGCCUCGGUCCGGCCCGGCCCGGCCCGCCCGUGCGCCCCAGCGCAGGCGCUCGCUGUUAGAAAAGCUCCACACGGGACAGAUGGGGAACGUGGUUUUUUUAAUCAGCUUUGCCGAGCGCUGAGAGGAGCAGGCGGCGUGAGGUGGGCGGCGGGAUCCUGGCUGUCACCCACGUGCAUUUCGCUGGCCAGAAGACAUAGAGGUCCCUUGCGACUGAGCCCUUGCACGAGUGUUUUGAGGAUGAAAUGCUGCAUAAACUCUUAAAGCACACCACCUGAGGACAUUGCUACCGACAUGGACAUCAUUAUUUAUUUACAAAUGCUUUAAUCAGGAGGAGCUUUUUUGUAAACAUGAAUUGCUGGGCUCUUUCCUUGAGGUGUCGUUUCUUGUUUCAUGCUAUUGAAACAUUAAUCUUAACUUAUUAUGACUCCUUUGUGUUGGUCAGCUCUCAGGGACAUUUCCCUAGGCUUGAAAAUGUGGGAGCUUUCAAGAACGUGUCAAUUGUGCCAACUCAAGCCACUUGUGGGCUGCCAGACCGAAGUACUUUUUGUCAUAGCUCAGUAGCUGUUCAAAGUAUUAUAUCGUGCACCCAGAGGUUUUGUGUUCAGGAAUGUCCAUACAGGUCGUCCCCUUCAUCCUACAAACCACUUCUUUCAGAAGGCCUUGGUACCUGCAUCACAGAGGACAAAAGGGACUUGCAUCCAGGGUCUUUCAGCAAUGCUUCCAGUUUUAUUUUUCAUAAUCACAAGGAUUGCUUUUCUACUCCCCGUUUUCCAAGGCUUGCAGCUUCAUUUACGUUAACUGUAUGGUUGAAACCUGAGCAAGAAGGUGUAAUGUGUGUGAUAGAAAAGGCUAUUGAUGGGCAGACUGUGUUCAAACUCACAAUCUCUGAGAAAGAGACCAUGUUUUAUUAUCGCACAGUAAAUGGUUUGCAGCCACCAAUAAAAGUAAUGACACUGGGGAGAAUUCUUGUGAAGAAAUGGAUUCAUCUUAGUGUGCAGGUGCAUCACAGCCGAAUUAGUUUCUUCUUGAAUGGCUGGGAAGAUGACAACACACCUUUUGAUUCAAGGAUUCUUAAGGGAACAGUUGCAGAUACUGAUGCUGAUGGUACUCUGCAAAUUGGACAAAGCUUCACAGGUUUAGAGCAAUUUGUUGGAAGAAUGCAAGAUUUUCGAUUUUACCCAGUGGCACUUACAAACAGAGACAUUUUGGAAGUAUUCUCUGGAAAAUUCCCUCAUCUUCAUACCCAGUCUGAGUGCCGCUGUCCUGGAAGUCAUCCCCGAGUGCACCCAUUGAUACAGAGGUACUGCAUCCCCAAUGGUGCAGAUGAUACCACUAACGACAGAGUGCUGAGGUUGGAUGCAGAAGCCCAUCCUCUGUAUUACAUCAAUGAUGAUGACAUUGGGACCACUUGGAUUUCAUCUGUGUUUGCUAAUACUGCAGGUCUGGAUCGUGGUGUUUCAAUCACAAUAGAUUUGCAAAAUGGACAGUAUCAGGUAUUCUAUAUUAUACUGCAGUUCUUUAGCCCACACCCUGAAGCAGUAAGAAUAGAAAGAAAAAAAAGAGAUGAUCUAAAAUGGGAAGACUGGCAGUAUUUUGCUAGAAAUUGCAGUAUUUUUGGAAUGGAAAACAAUGGAUCUCUGGAAAAACCAGACUCUGUCAACUGUCUCCAGCUUCAUAGCUUUACACCGUAUUCUCGUGGUAAUCUGACUUUUAGUGUUCUUACCCCGGAACCAAAUCACCGACCUGGUUACAAUGAUUUUUAUAAUACUCCAUCUCUCCAAGAAUUUGUAAAAGCUACACAAGUGAGGAUUCAUCUCCGUGGCCAGUAUCAUACCAGUGAACCUUGGGUAAAUUUCAGGCACAGGUACUACGGAGUUAAUGAAGUUACAGUCAGUGGAAGGUGUAAUUGCCAUGGCCAUGCUGAAAACUGUGACACAGCUGUGAAACCGUAUAGGUGCCUAUGCGUCAAGGAAAGCUAUACAGAAGGAAAUAAUUGUGAUCGCUGCUUGCCAUUAUACAAUGACAAGCCUUUUCGUCCAGGUGACCAAGUUCAUGCUUAUAAUUGCAAACCAUGUCAGUGUUACAGCCAUGCAGUGAGCUGCCACUAUGACUUAGCAAUGGAUCCUUUUCCUCAGGAACACUACAGAGGUGGUGGUGGAGUGUGUGAUAACUGUCAGCACAACACAGCUGGAAGGAACUGUGAGCUGUGCAAGGAUUUCCAUUACAGACAAGCAGGUGCAGAUCUUUCAGCCACUGAUGUUUGCAAACCCUGUGACUGUUAUGCAACAGGCACCAAAAAUAAGAGCCUCCUGUGUGAUAAUAUUGGAGGCCAGUGUAAUUGUAAGAGACAUGUGUCUGGCAGACAAUGCAAUCAGUGCCAGGAAGGAUUCUACAAUCUGCAACAGUCAAACCCUGAUGGCUGCAGUCCCUGUAACUGUAAUACCUCUGGGACAGUCAAUGGAGAUAUUACCUGUCACCAAAAUUCAGGACAGUGCAAGUGCAAAGCAAAUGUUAUUGGUCUUAGGUGUGAUAGUUGCAAUUUUGGAUUUAAGGCUCUCAGAUAUGCUAAUGAAGAUGGAUGCGAGCCUUGUUGGUGCAACAGCCACGGCUCAGUGAACCAAUUCUGCAGCCCUCUCUCCGGGCAGUGCAAUUGUAAAGAACGAGUGAAAGGACUUCACUGUGACACCUGCAUGGACAACUUUUAUGGGCUGGAUGUAACUGGUUGUAAGGCUUGUGAAUGUAAUGCUGCGGGGUCGUUUUCUGGAACUGUGUGCGAUGCAACGACAGGGCAGUGUGCGUGUAAACCAAAUAUUGGAGGAAGACAAUGCGACCAAUGCCUGGAUGGCUACCGCAAAGUACAGAAGAAUCAUUCCUUUGUUUGUCUGCCGUGUAACUGUGAUAAGGCAGGUACAGUGAAUGGCUCUCUGCUUUGUGACAAAUCAACAGGACAGUGUCCUUGCAAAGCUGGUGUAACUGGCCUUCAGUGCAGUCAGUGCAUGCUUCAUACGUACAACCUCAGCAUGAGCAACCUCCUCGGCUGCCAGCGUUGUGACUGUGACGCUCUGGGCACAUUGGCAGGAACAGUUUGUGACCCCGUUUCUGGACAGUGUGUCUGUUUGCCUCAGCGCCAGGGGAGAAGGUGUAAUGAGUGUAAACCAGGUUUUUAUUUUUCUCCAUCCAGUGUCACUGGCUGUCUGCCAUGCCUGUGCCACAUAGCUGGUUCAGUGAAUCAGAUCUGUGAUAAACUAACUGGCCAAUGUAGUUGCCAAGAUGCCUCUGUAACAGGACAGACAUGCGAACGCUGCAAAGAACUUUAUUUUGGAUUUGACUCUGAAACAGGAAGAUGUCAGCACUGUAAUUGUCAUCCUGCAGGAGCCAUUAGUGGGACUUGUCAUCUUGUUACUGGACAGUGUGUUUGUAAACAAUUUGUAACUGGCUUGAAAUGUGACAACUGUGUUCCUGAUGCUAGUAAUUUGGAUGUCCACAACCUAUUUGGCUGCAGUAAAACUCCUUUCCAGCAACCUCCUCCUACAGGAGAAGUUGUCAAUUCCUCUGUUAUCAAUCUUUCAUGGAGUUCCCCUGACUCUCCAAAUUCUAACAGGCUUAUUUACCAGCUGUAUAGGGAUGAGGAAGAAAUUUAUACAACUGAAGACUACUAUCCUUAUAGUGUUCAGACCUUCACCGACACUGUGUUAGCUCCAUAUACCUUCUAUUCCUAUUACAUCCAGGCCAGCAACGUUCAUGGUUUUACAAGAAGUGCCUCAGUGACAUACAGAACAAAAUCUGGGACACCUAUAGGAAGCUUAGAUUUAAAUCCCGUUUUUCCUGUCAGUCACCACUCUGUUUUACUUUACUGGACAAGUGUCUCCAAUGACUCUGGGCCCAUAGAGAAAUACAUUCUGACAUGUACUAGCUCGGUUGAUCUUCAGCCUUGUGGUCAGUAUGAAGGCUUAAAGACUUCAGCAAUUAUUUGGAAUCUCAUUCCGUUUACAAAGUAUGUUUUUUCUGUGCAAGCUUGUACUAGUGGAGGCUGCUUAAAGAGCCAACCAGUAACUGUAGUUACUGCACAAGCUCCUCCAGAAGGGCUACACACACCGAUGGUAAAAACUAUCAGCGCUACAGAACUGGCUGUGGAAUGGUCACCACCUGAGAAACCAAAUGGUAUAAUUAUAAGAUAUGAACUUUACAUGAGAAAAAAAUUAAAACCAACUGGGAACUUUCUUCCCCCUGAAAUUCGUAUUUUCCAAAGCAGUGGAUGGCUCAGUCCUCAACCAGUUGUGGAGUCUCCUAAUGAAAAUGCUCUGGCUCCACCGCAAACCAGUACCACAGUCAUUGAUCUGGAACCAUUUACAGAGUAUGAAUUUUAUGUGGUAGCAGUAAACAUGGCAGGUAGCAUAUCUUCAGACUGGAUAUCAGGACAAACAGGAGAGGCUGCCCCAGCAUUCAUGCCAUCUCCAUCAGUAUUCUCUCUCUCACCAUAUUCCCUCAAUGUGUCAUGGGAAAAACCAGAAGAUAAUUUAGCAAGAGGAGAAGUGAUGGGUUACAGCAUCAGUUUAAUGACUGAACAAAGGUCCUUGCCACCAUUUUCCCAGGUUUUGCAUAUAGCUGAGGCUCAUGAGCUCUCCUACGUAGCAACGGGAUUAAAACCUUACAGGACAUACAACUUUACUGUUACUCUCUGCAAUCAAAUUGGUUGUGUAACCAGUGAGCCAGGCAUGGGGCAAACCUUGGCAGCUGCUCCAAGAAAACUUAAUGCCCCUCAUGUUGAAGGAAUAAACAGCACAACGGUAAAGAUAUAUUGGAAUGAACCUGAAGAGCUUAAUGGGCCUUCUCCCAUCUACCAAGUGGAAAGGAUGGAUUCAUCUUUAGCUACAUUUAGCACAGAAGUAAUGAAAGGGAUCCGCUUUCCCGGAAAUGGGUAUUACAGAUUUGCUAGUUCCACUCUCCCCACCAAUACUUACUUUACAGGUAUUAAAGUGAAAUUUAGAACGCAGGAGCCCGAUGGUUUGAUUUUUUUCUCUGCAUCACCUGGCAAUCAGGAGGAAUACAUUGCAUUGCAGCUGAGGAGUGGACGACCUUACUUUCUUUUUGAUCCACAGGGAUCUGCAGUAGCAGUCACUCCAACUAAUGAUGGUGGAAAAAUGUACAAUGAUAACAGCUGGCACCAAAUAAUUGCUACAAGAAUUCAAGCACUGGGAAACAUCACAGUGGAUGGGCAGUAUACAGGUUCUUCCUUAGCAACUAGUGGCAGUACCAUUAUUGGAGAGAACACAGGAGUUUUUGUUGGAGGACUUCCACAGGGUUAUACUAUUGAGAGAAAGGAUGUAGGGAUGAAGAGGAUAGUGCAGAAAGGAUUUGUGGGGUGUCUUAGUGAUGUAUUUUUGAAAAAAGCGCAUACUCCUUAUGAAAACUGGGAAUCUUUGAACUGGGAGUAUGCUGAAGAGCAGAACAAUGUCUAUCAUGUUUGGGAAGGAUGCCCCAUUGCUCUCUCAGAAGGAGCACAUUUUCUUGGCAGAGGGUUCCUGGAAUUGCAUUCAGGUGUUUUCAGUGGUGGAAUGGAAUUUGAGAUCUCAUUCAAAUUCAGAACAGAUCAACUGAAUGGAUUGCUUCUGUUUGUUUACAAUAAAGAUGGCCCAGAUUAUCUUGCAAUUGAACUGAAAAGUGGAAUAUUAAACAUCUUUUUAAAAACUGGCCUUGUCUUCACACAAGUGGAUCUGUGGUUGGGACUGUCUUAUUGUGAUGGAAAGUGGAAUGAAGUCACUGUGAACAAGGAGGGCUCUGUGAUUUUAACAAGUAUGAAUGAACUGAGAGAGCAGGCACUUGAACCCCGUGUUCAGCAGCUGAAAGUAAACUCACCUGUCUACAUAGGAGGAAUCCCACCUGAGAUUCAGAAUUUUUAUAAAGAGCUGGGGUUAGAACAAGGUUUCGGUGGUUGCAUGAAGGAUGUUAAAUUUACACGAGGUGCUGUCGUUAACUUGGCAUCUGUGUCCAGCAGUGCUGUCAGAGUCAAUCUGGACGGAUGCCUAUCAACUGACAGUGCUGUUAACUGCAGGGGAAAUGACUCCAUCCUAGUGUACCGAGGAAAAGAGCACAGUGUUUAUGAGUGUGGUCUACAACCCUUUACAGAAUACCUCUAUAGGGUGGUUGCCUCAAAUGAAGGAGGAUCAGUAUCUAGUGUAUGGACCCACGUUCGUACAAGAGAAUCAGUUCCACAAAAUGUGCCAAGUCCCUCAAGAGUUCACAGUAUAAAUGGUUACAGCAUUGAGGUCACCUGGGACAAACCAGCUGGGGUCAUAGGUGUAAUUGAGAAGUACAUUUUGAAAGCAUAUGAAGCGGAUGGUCCCAAUGUACCCAUCACUAGUGCUGAGCUUGCUGACGCUGGUAUGCUCACAGGCAUAUUGACAGGCUUGGAUCCCUUCACAAACUAUGCUGUAACCCUAACUGCUUGCACUUUGGCUGGCUGUACUGAGAGCUUGCAUGCAUUGAACAUCUCCACUCCACAAGAAGCCCCUGAAGAUGUGCAAUCACCUACAGCAAUAUCCUUUCCCACUUUCCUGCUGAUGACUUGGAAUCCACCCAAAACACCAAAUGGUAUUAUUACACAGUAUACUUUAUAUAUGAAUGGAAUACCAGUUUACUCUGGAAAUGGAACUAAAUAUGUUGUAAAAGAUUUAGCAGUUUUUACGCCAUACCAGUUUCUGCUCGCUGCCUGCACGCUUGCUGGCUGUACAAACAGUUCCCAGGUCACCUUGUUUACAGCACAGCUGCCACCAUCUCAUGUAAAUGCCCCGGUCCUGACGGCUUUGGAUUCUAGAACGAUAUACGUACAAUGGAAAGAACCAGUAGAAGUAAAUGGAAUCCUAGAUCGCUAUAUAAUUUAUAUUGCCAACAAUGAGCAGAAUUUUACAAAGUGGAAUGUAAUCUAUAACAGCACAGAACCUUUUCUGGAUUUUACUAUUCCGCAGCUUUCCCCGGGUACUGAAUACCUCAUAAAACUAGCUGCUUGCACGGGAGGUGGAUGUUCCAUAAGCGAUGCUAGCACAGCUAUAACAGAUGAGAGUACACCAGAAGGUGUUCCUGCUCCAAAAGCCCAGUCAUAUUCAUCUGACUCCUUUAACAUCUCAUGGACUAAGCCUGAGUAUCCGAAUGGUAUUAUUACUAGCUAUGGAUUGUAUAUGGAUGGUGUUCUGCUGCAAAAUUCAUCACAGCUAAGUUGUUAUGCUUAUGGACUUGCUCCUUGGAGCCUGCAUUCCUUCAGAGUCCAGGCAUGUACUGCGAAAGGUUGUGCUUUGGGUCCAUUGGUAGAAGCUCGGACUAUGGAAGCUUCCCCUGAGGGAAUGGUUGAUGUAUUUACUACUGUUGACGGGUCCAAAGAAGUUCAAUUAAAAUGGCUUGCCCCAAAUAAACCUAAUGGAAAACUGACCUACACAGUCCUUGUCACUGGUCUCUUCUAUGCUGAUCAAGAUAAUGCUAAUUAUUCUAUGGUAAAUGAUACUCGGAUGUUCUGCAGCAGCAAGAAAUUCAAUGUAUGGGUACCCAUUAAAGGCCUGAUUCCAUUUUCUAACUACACAGUACAAGUGAAUGCAUCCAACAGCCAGGGCAGCUUGAUAAGUGAUGCUAUAACAAUUGUCAUGCCUCCAGGAGCUCCAGAUGGCGUGAUGCCUCCAAGGCUUUCAUCUGCCGCUCCGACCAGUCUUCAGGUUGUCUGGUCUACACCAGUUCGCAACAACGCCCCAGGCACACCCAGCUACCAACUCCAGAUGCGGCGGAGGAAUUCUGCUGGUGACAUUUUAGAUUUGCUUCCCAGCCCUACUGCUUCUUUACAACACAGGGUUGAAGACCUUCAGCCAUACACUGAGUAUGAGAUGAGAGUGGUUGCCUCCAAUGGUUAUGGCAAUGCUUAUAGCAACUGGACUUCAAUGACUACAGCAGAGGACAAACCCGGACCUUUAGAUCCACCACUUCUGCUGAAUGUUACAGCAAGGGCAGCAAGCAUCAUCUGGCAGCAUCCUUUAAAGCCGAAUGGCUUUAUCACUCAUUAUAAUAUUUACCAAAAUGGCAAACUGCAUGCUACAGUGCUAGGAACUAGCUCUAACUGCACUGUAGAAGACUUGCAUCCUUACACUGUCUAUGUGUUUCAGGUAGAAGGAUGCACUUCUAAAGGAUGCUCUCUUUCACCUGCAACCCCAGAAAUACAGACUCUUCCAGAUGCACCUGAGGAUAUUCCUGCUCCAGAGCUCUAUUCUGAUACUCCAACUUCUGUGGUCAUAUCCUGGCAACCACCUGCUCGCUCAAAUGGUGUGGUGGAAAAUGUUACAAUAGAAAGGAGGGUGAAAGGAACAGAACAAAUAUCAACUGUGGUGUCUCUCCCUUUCAGUCAGUCCACGAGCUACAUUGACCAGAGCAGUGCUCUGAGCCCUUGGCAGAAAUUUGAAUACAGAGUGCUGAUGAGCACUCUUGACGGAGGCACAAACAGCAGUGACUGGUCAGAAGUUACCACUAGACCAUCAAGACCUGCUGGUGUUCAGCCACCCGAUGCAGAAGCAUUGGGACCGUAUUCAGUUCAGGUCUCAUGGAAACCUCCUCUGAUACAGAAUGGAGAAAUCCUUAAUUAUGAGAUUCGCAUGCCUGAUCCACGAAUUGUCAUUACUGGGAACCCUUCCUCAAGGUUAAGUCAUCUGGUGACUAAUCUUAUACCCUAUACAAACUACUCUGUCACUGUAAUAGCUUGUACUGGAGGUGAUGGCUUUCUAGGAGGCUGCACGGAGAGUUUACCUACGAGAGUGACGACACCUUCAACCAUUCCUCAGAGUGUUAGUCCGUUGUCUGUGACUCCAAUCAGUGAGUCCUUUAUAGCCAUUUCUUGGCAACCACCACUAAGGCCAAAUGGUCCUUAUCUGAGAUAUGAGCUCCUGAGACGUAAAAUCCAGCAACCACUUGCAUCAAAUCCCCCUGAAGAUUUAAAUCUGUGGCACAAUAUUUACUCAGGAACUCAGUGGUUUUAUGAAGAUAAGGGUCUUAGCAGGUACACAACAUACGAGUACAAGCUCAUAGUGCACAACGAGGUAGGAUAUACACCGAGUGAAGAAGUGGUAACUACUACAUUAGCAGGAUUACCAGAGAAAGGAAGUGUCCUCGUUGCACGUGCUGUUAAUCAUACUGCUGUACAAGUCGAAUGGUCAAAACCAACACUACAGGAUUUGCAAGGAGAUGUUGUGUAUUAUACCCUCUUCCUGAAUUCUACUGAUGAGAGAAGAUCUCUAAGGAUCCAGGCUGAUGUAAACUCUAUAAUCAUAGGUGAUUUGCAGCCCAACACAGAGUAUCAGAUAUUUUCUCAAGUUUUUAAUGGAGUCCACAGCAUCAACAGUGAAGUUGUGCAUGUGACUACCUCAGAUGGAGAGCCUGAGGGCAUGUUCCCUCCAGAGGUUGUCAUCAUCAACAGUACAGCUGUACGUGUCAUCUGGACAUCGCCUUCAAACCCGAAUGGUGUUGUCACAGGGUACUCUGUCUAUGUAAAUAAUAAGCAGUACAAGACUGGAAUGAACGAACCGGGAUCCUUUCUUUUAGCAGAUUUGUCUCCAUUCACCGUGUAUGAUAUACAGAUUGAAGCCUGCACGGUGUAUGCCUGUGUGAGAAGCAAUGGGACCCAGAUUACAACUGUGGAAGAUGAGCCAAAGCAGCUGUCAGCACCCAUUAUUCACGUAAUUGGCUCAAGGUCUCUUCAAAUCAACUGGGCAUCACCAGGACAGCCAAAUGGCAUUAUCCUGGGGUAUGAACUUUUACGUAAAGCAUGGCAGAAGUGUACCCCAUCAAAGACUCCAAGGAGAAGCAAAAGUAAUAUAAUGUGCGUCUCAUUAGAAUGUAAAAAGCAUGAAAAUAUCUGUGGAGAAGUGUGUUAUCAUCCAGAGUCGAAGGUAUGUUGUAAUGGGAUUCUGCAUGACAAUAAACCUGGAUUCCAAUGCUGCGAGGACAAGUACAUUCCAUUUAUUCCUAAUUCACCAGGGGUUUGCUGUGGUGGUCAGAUACAUGCUGUGCAACCGAAACAUCAGUGCUGUGGUGGUUAUUACACUAGAGUUUUAGUAGGAGAAGUAUGCUGCCCUAACAAAGAGGAAAACAGAGUUUCAGUUGGAAUUGGUGACUCUUGCUGCCAGGGAAUGCCUUACUCCACAUCGGGCAAUCAAAUCUGCUGUGGUGGAUCCCUUCACGACAGUUUCAAUCAGCAGUGCUGUGGUGGAAGAGUCAUAAGCAUGGACUCAGUCUGUUGUGGUGAUGAAAAAGAAGGGACUGCAUACAGACCUGUCACAGGGAUGUUCUGUUGUGGGCAGGAAUACGUGAAUAAGUCAGAUACCAUAUGCUGCUCAGGUUCCAGUGGUGAGUCCCUAGCACAUGUUAGAAAGAAUGACCAAGUGCCAGUAAAAUGCUGUGAGACUGAACUUAUUCCAAAGAGCGAAGAAUGCUGUAAUGGAGUUGGAUAUAAUCCUUUGAAAUAUGUUUGCUCUGACAAGAUUUCAACUGGAAUGAUGAUGAAGGUAAAAGAAGAAUGCAAGGCUAAUAUCCUUUGCCCUUUAUCUAUGGAGGCAACAGCACAUUGUGGAAAGUGUGACUUUGAUCCUAGGAAGAAUAUCUGUGCAUGGAUAAAAGGUUCACAGAGUGCUAAAGAAACAGAGGUAGAAGCAGGUGUGUGUCCAGCUGAAGAGGAGACUGUCUACACAGGAAGUCCAACACAGUAUUCAUUUACAGAUGUGGGCCUCGAACCUUUUGUCACAUACGAGUACAGAGUGGCUUCUUGGAAUAGCUAUGGAAGAGGUGUCAGUGAAAUUAGCAGAGCUGUCACUAAACAAGAUGUGCCACAGGGUGUAAGUCCACCAAAAUGGGCCAAAGUAGAUAAUCGGGAAGACAUGAUACUUCUAAACUGGGAGGAACCACUUCAACCAAAUGGUCUCAUUAUUCACUAUAUCAUUCUCCGAAAUGGAAUUGAGUAUUUUCGAGGAACAGAAAUGAGCUUCACAGACACAAGUGGUAUCCAGCCAUACCAAGAAUAUUCAUACCAGCUGCGAGCCUGCACUGUUGCUGGUUGCACAGACAGCAGCAAGGUAGUUGCAGUCACUGUCCAAGGAGUCCCAGAGAGUGUUCAGCCACCAGACGUCAGUGCUCUGAACUCAACAGCAUUACAUUUAAGCUGGAUUGCACCCAAGAAACCAAAUGGUGUCAUCAGAGAGUACCAGAUCAGUCAAGUAGGGAAAGGACUUAUAUACACUGAUGCUGCAGGCAGAAUGCAGCACACAGUAUCAGGUCUGCAGCCAUACACUAAUUACAGCUUCAUGCUUACUGCAUGCACAUCUGCUGGGUGUGCUUCUAGCCAACCACUUUCAGGUCAAACUUUACAAGCUGCUCCUCAUGGAGUAUGGCCAAAACCUCAUCAUAUCAUAGUCAGCUCAACAGAAGUGGAAAUGUACUGGAGUGAACCAGAGAAACCCAAUGGACUCAUUACUCAUUAUCGAUUAUUUCGUGAUGGAGAGCAGAUUUUCCUGGGUGGCAGUACAGACCUGAAUUUCACAGAUAUUAACCUGCAGCCCAAUAGUAGAUAUGUUUACCAGUUGGAAGUCAGCACUUGGGGUGGCAGCAACACCAGUGAUAAAUACAUUAUACAAACACCAGUAGGAACACCAGAGAAAAUUCAUGUCCCAUAUAAUGUCACAGUAAUUGAUGCAUAUUCUAUAUUUCUAGCUUGGGAUGUGCCAGGGAUAUUCAUUGUCAAUGUGCCUUUGGAAUACAACAUCUUGCUAAAUGCGAGCAGCCCUGCUCUACUGGUGAAGCCAGUAGGACGUGCACAUUUUGCCUUUGUUGAUGGCCUAGAUCCCUAUACUCUGUAUGAGAUAAGAAUACAAGCAUGCCAAAAUGGUGGCUGUGGAGUGGGUGGUCAAAUAUAUUCAAGAACUGCUGAAGCACCUCCUAGAGAAUUGAGCCCACCUAUUGUUAAAGCAAUUGGAUCUGCACUCAUAGAAUUGAAAUGGACACCACCUAAGAAACCAAAUGGCAUCAUUACUAACUACUUCAUUUACAGACGUCCUGUGGGCAGUCAAGAAGAGCUGCUUUUGUUCAUCUGGACUGAAGGAGCCUUGGAGUUUAUUGAUGCAUCCGAUGCCCUACAGCCUUUUACUCUCUAUGAAUAUCGUGCCAGAGCUCAAAACUCUGUGGGGUCAGUGGACAGCUUGUGGGCUUCAACCCAAACUCUGGAGGCUUCCCCAUGGGGCAUGGGAGCCCCUUGGGCACAAGCAACAAGCGCAUACUCAGUGAGAUUGAACUGGACCCAGCCUGUCUCUCCCAAUGGUGUUAUAUCCCUGUAUCGAGUGGUCUAUCAGGAAAAACGCAGCGACCCGACAUUUAGCACCCCAGCUGUUACAGCACUAACUGUAAUGGGAACGAAGCAUCAGGCUCAUUUAUUUGGAUUGAAACCUUUCACAACAUAUCAUAUUCAUGUCGUAGCUGUAAACAAUGCUGGGCAGGUUUCAAGCCCCUGGACAUCUGUGCGCACUUUGGAAGCUUCACCCAGUGGCCUGAGCAACUUCACUGUGGAAAAGAAGGAAAAUGGCAGGGCUCUGCUACUCAAAUGGUCAGAGCCCUCCCAGCCCAACGGUGUGAUUAAGACCUACAAUAUUUUCAGCGAUGACAACCUGGAGUACAGUGGUUUAUCUCGGCAGUUCCUCUUCAGGCGCCUUGAGCCGUACACUCUCUACACCCUCAUACUGGAGGCUUGCAAUGCAGCAGGAUGCACUCGUUCUCCACCCCAGCCAGUCCGGACAGACGAAGCACCCCCAGUGUCUCAGAUGGCACCUGUAAUCCAGGCAGUGAAUGCCACCAAUGUUGAACUGAGCUGGUUGCAGCCAAUUAAUCCAAAUGGAAAAAUAAUUCGCUAUGAAGUUAUUCACAGAUGCACAGAAGAAAAUGCUGCGGGGUACAGAGCGACAACAGAAGAUGAGAAAAUUGUUUUCACAGAAUAUAACACUGAAAGUAAUACAUUCGUAUAUAAUGAUAAAGGUUUGCAGCCAUGGACAAGGUAUGAAUAUAAAAUACGCACCUGGAAUGCAGCAGGCUACACUGACAGCUCCUGGACAGUGGCAAAGACUAGUCAAACUGCCCCAAAAGGUCUUGCCAUCCCCAGGUUAUCUGUGGUGUCAGCUAACCCCCAUAAAGUGUUCAUAUCAUGGGCCCCCCCGGCACAUCCCAAUGGCAUUCUUCAGUCGUACAGGCUGCUAAAGAAUGAUGUUCUCUACCCUUUCAGCUUUGAUGCUGCUACUCUCAGCUACAUGGACGAAGACUUACUGCCCUAUACAGUGUACAGCUACGCAAUAGUUGCCUGUACAAUGGGAGGCUGCUCCACCAGUGAGCCAGCUGCCAUACGGACACUGGAAGCAGCUCCUGCCUUGGUGGACCCACCAUCUCUGCGGGCUGUCAGUGCCACUCAGAUCAAUGCAUCUUGGGCACCUCCUCAAAUACAAAAUGGAGAUAUUACCAAGUACAUAUUGAAAUUAAACAAUGAGGAGUAUUAUCCUGGCAAAAAUUUGCAAAUAUUGGUUUCUAAUCUACAGCCUUACACACAGUAUGAUUUUGCAUUGGUUGCCUGUACUGCUGGGGGCUGCACAGCCAGUACAUCCCAGUCCGUGAUGACCAUGGAGGCUCCACCAUUAAAUAUGGAAGCUCCCAGGCUGCUUGUCAUGGGCUCAGAGUCGAUUGAAAUCACAUGGAAACUUCCAGAUAAGCCCAAUGGUAACAUCACAAGCUAUGAGCUGAGAAGGGAUGGUGUACUUGUUUACUCAGGUCUGGAAACUCGUUAUCUUGAUUUCACCCUAACGCCAGGCAUGGAGUACAGCUACACUGUCACUGCAAAUAACAGUCAAGGGAGCGUGACCAGCCCAUCAGCUCAGAUAAAAACCAACCCCUCUGCUCCAUCUGGGAUGUUGCCUCCUAGGUUGCAGGCAUGGUCCUCAAAUGAGAUUUUGGUGGCCUGGGAUCCUCCUAUCAAAGUGAAUGGUGACAUAAUAAAUUACACAAUCUCCAUCCACAAGCCUGCUGAAACAGGAAAGAAAACUUUUGACUUCGAUGCAUCUCAUGUUUCCUUUCUGAGACGGUCAUACAUAGUGGCACAGCUACAGCCCCACAGUAGGUAUGAAGUACAGCUCCAAGCUUGCACAGAGCUGGGUUGUGCCUCCAGUGAGUGGGCAUCGGUACAGACGCUGGAGGCGCCGCCGGCAGUGCAGCCUGCCCCUCUCAUCGAAAUACAGACAACAGCCGGAGGCUUCCAGUCGACUGCUUCCAUCCUGUGGACUGGCCCAAAGCAGCCAAACGGGAAGAUUUUAUACUAUGAACUUUACAGAAGGCGAACAACUCAAGCCCACAUAAAUUUAGACCUCGCACUUGUUUUCAAUGGUUCUUCAACCUCCUUCAAAGAUGACAAGUUGCUGCCUUACACAGAGUAUGAAUAUCAGGUGUGGUCAGUAAAUUCAGUGGGCCGGACAUCAAGCAGCUGGUCCCGCUGCCGGACAGGCCCUGCCCCUCCUGAGGGCCUGGGAGCUCCCCUCUUCAACACAGUGGCAUCCACUGUGGCUGUGGUGAACAUCAGCCCCCCUCUUAAGCCUAAUGGGGUGGUCAGUAUCUACAGACUGUUUUCCAAUGAUACCAGAGGGACUGAUGUGGUGCUGUCAGAAGGGACUGCUACCCAGCAGACAAUACAUGGACUAAAACCUUUUACCACAUACUCCAUCGGCGUGGAGGCCUGCACCUGCUUCAACUGUUGCAGCAAAGGACCCAUGGCUCAAUUCACCACACAGCCGGCUCCACCCUCAGAGCAGCCUCCCCCGCAGAUCCGCACCGUGACCUCCAGAAAUGCCUCUUUCCAGUGGAGUGCCCCUCAGUCACCCAAUGGCAUUGUAACCAGCUACGAGCUCCAUGUGUAUAUGGCAUGUCCUCUGAACCUACAGCCAGCAGUGAAGGCGUGCAGCCCUGGCCCAACUGAGGUGAAGUACACAGGAAAAGGACAGAGUGCCAAUGUGUCCAACCUGGAGCCUUACACAACUUACAACUUGCGAGUUGUGUCUUACAACUCCGUUGGCAGCAGCGCCUCUGAAUGGAUUGGUUUCACCACAGAAAAAGAGCCACCUCGGUACAUGGCUCCAUUCUCUGUUGUCAGCAACUUAUCUACCAUCCACAUAGACUGGAGUCGCACGUUCGUGCUGAACGGCCGCCUGAAGGAGUACGCGGUGACUGAGAGCGGGCAGCGCAUCUACAGUGGCUUUGACACCGAGCUCUAUUUACCAAGGACAUCUGACAAAACUUUUUUGUUUCAAGUGACCUGCAUCACUGAUGAAGGGAGUGCCAUGACACCAGUCAUCAAGUACAACGCUGGAGACGGAGUUGGUCUGAUCUUGACAACACCUGGAGAGAAGGACAAAGCAGAGUCUAAACAUGCAAAAUUCUACAACGAGUUGUGGUUUGCAGUGCUGAUGGUAGUUCUAGGUUUGAUCCUCUUGGCUAUUCUUCUCUCCUUAAUUCUUCAAAGGAAGGUCAAAAAGCAACCCUAUGCACGAGACAGGCCUCCUUUAGUUCCACUCCAGAAAAGAACAUCACCAAUGAGUGUGUAUUCAUCAGGUGAAACCCACCCGUGCCAAGAUGCUGCAUCUGUGCCUCAACCAAGGAGCUCUUGGAAACAAUGGGAUUUCCAGUGUGCCCCUUCUCCUGGCAAAGGCUAAGAGCAUAAGAAACUUCUUUUUUUUAUCUCAUGGUUUUGAUUCCUUUUCCUCUACAGUCUGUCAUGUUAUGUUGUUCCUCUUGACUUUAAAAUGUCUUUGCUGUUGGCAUGCCUGCCCAAUUCCCUUUCACGUUCCUGACCUUUCUUUUAUUUUCUAUUUUGUUUUUCCCUUCUCUUUUUCCAGAAGCUCAUGGACUUAAUAGGAAGGAAGAUUCUACAGUGCAUCAGUUGAAGGACUUAAUCUGAGAAGUUAGGACAGAGCUACAAUAGAGUGGCAAAAUCGCUUGUGUUUUACAGUGGUUAGUGAGGUCACAUGGCCAGCAAUGCUAGCUGUCCACACAGUACUUGAUGACCACUUAAAAGUUAAAAAGUGCCUGAUCUUUGCCAGUUCCCCUACUCCCCCAUGUCCUGCUACAUUGCUCUCCCUCACAGAGCUGCAGCUAAUUCACACCCUUUGUAAGGUACACCUGUAUUGCACCUUGCCCUGCCCUAACGCUUUUCCUCCCUCUCUUUAAUCUCAGUUUGAGACUAUUGCUGACACAUCCAAUUCAUCAAGCAGUGUCACGCUCAAAAGAUACACAAUGCACUUUGAGGGACUAGCGGAUACGAAAAUUCCAGGAGCUGGUUCUCCCAUGAGCAGCC